CACGCAACAAGGGAGCCAAUUUUUCGUCAUUAUGAAUGCAUAUUGGGACAGAAUCAGGCAGUGUUCAUGCAGCUGUGUUUUUGUCACUGUAAGUAAACAAGCUGGUGGGAUCAUACAUGUGGAGGAACCACCUUAAAACUCAAAUAUAGCGUGGUGGACUGGUCUGCAAGGCAGCUCCUUCCUUCAGUGAAUGGUGUGCCAUGGCAGAUAAAUGGGAAGCACAAAAAUGGGGCCAGUGUCAAGCUCUGACAAUUAAUCUUCGCAUCUUCUCUAAGACCACAAAAUACCAUUUGCCUGCGUAGCUGGAAAGUCAUGAAUACACCCAGAGAAGAGGCAAAAGUGAGUCACCCAACAUUCUCUGCCAGAGGGGUCUUCAGUGGCCAGAGAUGGAAGUUGAAGAGAACAGGUUAAUGAAGCUAAAGGGAAGGAGGGAAGGAUUGGUCGUUCAAUCAAAUUGCAACAUAUGGAAAAUCCAACAUUUCAGUGAAUUCUAGGAG
ensembl:lncRNA